AGAGAAGAAGAGAGGGACUUCAGGGUGGCAGGGUGGCCAUCUCAAAGCUACGUUUGCACAGCAACUACAGUGUACAUACUUAGCUUCCACCCACCCUGCCAUAAGCCAUUUUCAGUCUCAAGAUCAAUUCUUUUUCAUGAGAAUGAGCACACCUCUUUCAGCAGGAUAACCACAGGGUCGUGGCAAAUAUCGUUUCAUGGGUUUCCAGCUUUGUUUUUGGAGCUCAAAGGAUAAAGUGCUCCCACAAGAAAGAAUAAAGACAGAGGAAAGAA